rnacentral:rRNA from 1 species
CGGACGGGUGAGUAAUGCCUAGGAAUCUGCCUGGUAGUGGGGGACAAUGUUUCGAAAGGAACGCUAAUACCGCAUACGUCCUACGGGAGAAAGCAGGGGACCUUCGGGCCUUGCGCUAUCAGAUGAGCCUAGGUCGGAUUAGCUAGUUGGUGAGGUAAUGGCUCACCAAGGCGACGAUCCGUAACUGGUCUGAGAGGAUGAUCAGUCNCACUGGAACUGAGACACGGUCCAGACUCCUACGGGAGGCAGCAGAC